rnacentral:pre_miRNA from 1 species
AUUGAGCUGCUUUUUGUCACGCGCGACGUUGUCGCUGUAUGUCUAUUAGAACGGAUACAGCGACAACGUCGCGCGCGACAAAAAGUAGCUCAA